GGUCAAUGAUGAUAGAUCCAAAGGCUUGUUUCUCAAGAACAUUCGCAGUGGCCGCCUAAGAGCUUUCGCCUUUCGCCCAAGGCUUGAGAGCUUCUGCUGCAUCUUUCCUUCCUUGGAUGUCUGAGCCC
rfam:Populus trichocarpa scaffold_7_contig_45, whole genome shotgun sequence.